rnacentral:tRNA from 1 species
CGGGGUAUAGCAAAGUUGGCUAUUGCGCUCGGUUUGGGACCGAGAGGCCGCAGGUUCGAGUCCUGCUACCCCGACCA